UACGGAGGAUGCGAGCGUUAUCCGGAUUUAUUGGGUUUAAAGGGUGCGCAGGCGGAUUUUUAAGUCAGCGGUCAAAUCGUGGGGCUCAACCCCAUCCAGCCGUUGAAACUAUCGUUCUUGAGUGUUGGAGAGGCAGGCGGAAUUCCGUGUGUAGCGGUGAAAUGCGUAGAAAUACGGAGGAACACCAGUGGCGAAGGCGGCCUGCUGGACAUUAACUGACGCUGAUGCGCGAAAGCGUGGGGAGCAAACAGG
rnacentral:rRNA from 1 species